rnacentral:rRNA from 1 species
GAUGAACGCUGGCGGCGCGCCUAACACAUGCAAGUCGAACGGUUAAAGCACCUUUUAGGUGUGUAUAAAGUGGCGAACGGCUGAGUAACACGUGGGCAACCUGCCCUCCUCUUGGGGAUAGCCUCGGGAAACCGAGGAUAAUACCCGAUACUUCAAUGUGGCCGCAUGACGACAUUGAGAAAGCUUUUGCGGAGAAGGAUGGGCCCGCGGCCUGUUAGCUUGUUGGUGGGGUAGAGGCCUACCAAGGCAAUGAUGGGUAGCUGGGUUGAGAGACCGACCAGCCAGAUUGGGACUGAGACACGGCCCAGACUCCUACGGGAGGCAGCAGUGGGGAGUCUUGCACAAUGGGCGAAAGCCUGAUGCAGCGACGCCGCGGGCGGGACGAAGGCCUUCGGGUUGUAAACCGCUUUCAGCAGGGACGAGGCGAUAAGUGACGGUACCUGCAGAAGAAGCCCCGGCUAACUACGUG